CCCCAGGCUGAAAUGCACUGGGCCUCAUUCAGGGAUCAGCAAUGGAUUUUGUCUCCGGCCUGGACAGCUAUUCACACAGAUUCUGACUGCAGGGAUCUGGCUGUGCCCGGAUGUGAAGAGGCAGUGCACAGUGAGGAAGAAGGCACGUGUGCAUGCAAGUUUGGGCAGGUGCAGAUGGAACCUGCAAGGAUUCUCCAGGGAGCCACCAUCAACCUGAUCUCCAGAGGGAGCUGGUCUGAGCUACGUUACCCCCAAGCCCUGCUAGCUGGCUCCCUAGGAAAGCAAGAAAGCACACAAUUGCCUUUUGGGGGUUUGUGGAGGAGCUGAGCCCUCAUCAUUUCCUGUGGGUCUUUCUGAGCAUAAGAUCCUCUCUUGCAUCAGCCAAGCCAGGAGCUGCUGAUAAACCGUGGCACAAGCUUGAGGCAGAGUUAACCUUAACCAUUGACCACCCACUGAGCACUUGUCCUGUGCUAAGCAUUAUCUCAUUAAACCCUCACUGCAAUUCUGCAAGGCCUCUGGAAGGUAGGAUCUAGUUUACCCCUGCAGCCUGCUGAAGAUGCGUGCUCCAGGGGCCAGGAAUGGACGGAGCAGGUGCAGAUGGCCCGUGGAUGCAGCGAUAACAGUCGCAGCAUGGAGAUCAAGUCACACAUGUGAGUUCUGAGCUACAGCCUUUCUUCUGCUUAGGCUGCAAAUCUUUGGCAAUCGGAGGCAGGCUCUGAAUUAAGCUUAAUUAAAAUUCACUCUUAAUUAGGGCCAUUACUUAAAAUCAACUCUAUGUAAUAAAGCCGUGUAAUCAUAAUUAAGCCCCAGGAAUGGAAUUAGGAGGCAGGGAAUGUGAAAGCCAUUGUAUUUACAAGGGCCUGGUGUCGGUGGGGGCGACAGAGCCUUCUUCUUCAAUUAACAGGAUUUUUAAGUAAACGAGCAUCUGCCAGUCGUGGUGAGGACUUAGGCAGCCACAGGCCUGAUGAAGCACAUCGGAAAGGGGCCUCGAAGAAAGUAGACUCAAGGGGCCAUGGUCUCAGGUAGUGUGAUGGGUGACAGGGAUGGUCACAAUGUCCAAACUGUCUGUAAGUUAAGAUUCUCACUUCCUAUGGAACUCUUGUUAGGGGAGCUUGGAUCAGCAUAGCCAAGGUCAGUGCCAUCCACCUGUUUCCCGGCCGCAGUCACAGUGCUUGAUCCUAAAGUAUUAGAAGGAGCAGAGGG
rnacentral:sRNA from 1 species